GCUGAUUUACUUUGUUAUACAGGAGCAACUAACACAAUGAUGUAAAGCAAUUAUACUCCAAUAAAGAUGUUAAGAAAAAGAAGAAAAUGCAGCAUGGCAACUGCAGUGAUCAGUAUUGCUGAGAGGCCAGAUAAGACAUCUCAUGGAGAAAAUAUUUUGCAUCUAUUGAAGAAGGAACUUGAUUUUACGUGGAUAAGUCAUCCCUUGCCCUGGGCUGACAGCAAAAGGGCCAAGCUCUCCAUAUGUUGAACAACAUUCCACAAUGGCAUAAGCACACAGACAGGUUUCCUGCAGCCCCCCUGACUGUCCCUGUCACCCAGUGCCAGAUGGGAAGUGAGAGCUCAGCUGAUCUACCUCUUUGUGGUGGAAACCCCCAGAGCUUCAGCUCCAGGCUACAGGUUACCGAAGCCGUCAUGAAAAAUUCAGAGCUGAUAUUAACAAGUCUGCUGAAAGUAAAGCGCGUGUCACAUUAUCUACCCUGCCUUUCAGUUAAUACUAAAGCUACUGUCGCCAAAGAAGAAAUGCAGACUUGCUGUGCUUGUGUUCAGAGCUAUUUGCGUUGUACUAUGUAGAUUCAGAAAUAAGAAGAAAGAUGUUGUAAAAAGUAGAAGACAGAAAGAUCAGACAGCUGAAUUACUGAGAAUCCUUGAGAAUGAGGAUAGAAGAGAGAAUUGAAAGUGGCCUCAAUAAUACUUGGAGUGAAAUAUAGAAAUAUGUUACUGAAGUUCCCCUCCUGCAGCUUCGUACGCGGGCCUCUCCCUGCUGUGGCCUCUCCCGUUGCAGAUCACAGGCUCCGGACGCGCAGGCUCAGCGGCCAUGGCCCACGGGCCCAGCCGCUCCGCGGCAUGUGGGAUCUUCCCGGACCCGGGCACAAACCCGUGUCCCCUGCAUCGGCAGGCAGACCCCCAACCACUGCGCCACCAGGGAAGCCCUAGUUGAUGCUUUUAUCCUCUUAAAAAAUCCCCAAACAUCAGUGUGACUAGUGGAACAAUACUUUUCACGAUCAAACAGAAGUUUCCAACCAUGCAGGGAUGGGUAAGAGGCUAGAAAGAGACUGAAAGAGUAGAAGAAAUCAUAAGAACAAAGGACUUUCAUUGUAAAGGUCUUUCAUUGUAUGAGAGCAGGUAGUGAGUAUAAAGAGGUAAAAAGUUGGGUAUUUGGAGUCUCAAAUUUUUU